UAACCUGCCCAAGAGAUCGGGAUAACACCUGGAAACAGAUGCUAAUACCGGAUAACAACAGAUGAUGCCUAUCAACUGUUUAAAAGAUGGUUCUGCUAUCACUAUUGGAUGGACCUGCGGUGCAUUAGCUAGUUGGUAGGGUAACGGCCUACCAAGGCGAUGAUGCAUAGCCGAGUUGAGAGACUGAUCGGCCACAUUGGGACUGAGACACGGCCCAAACUCCUACGGGAGGCAGCAGC
rnacentral:rRNA from 1 species